rnacentral:lncRNA from 1 species
CCCGCUGUCCUCAGCGCCCCCCAUCAAGCAGGUCUCACUUUGUCACCCAGGCCGACGUGCAGUGGCGCCAUCAUAGCUCACUGCAGCCUUGACCUCCUGGGCUGAAGCGAUCCUCCUACCUCAGCCUCCGUGUAGCUGGGACUACAGAUGUGCACCACCGCACCCAGUUAAUUUCUUAAUUUUUUAGAGAGAUGGGGUCUUGCUGUGUUGCCCAGGCUGGUCUCCAAAUCCUGGGCUGAAGCAAUCCUCCCACCUCAGCCUCCCAAAGUGCUCGGAUUACAGGCAUGAGCCACCGUGUCUGGCCCAGGCAGCUGACCUCUUUGACUGAUUCAAGCCUGCUGGCAUCAGGGUCAAGGCCGAGGCAGGGGUGGAACCGUGCAGCGGUGGCUGAAAACCAUAUCCCAAAGCCUGCCUGCCCUUUCUGGUGUUUGCCUGGAAAUUAGUUCUGCUCGUUCACUGCCUCCACUCCCUGCAACACUCACCCCACCUCCACCUGCUCUCUGCCCACGUGGUGGUUGUGAAACUCAGGGAUCAGAGAGGUCAAGCCACUAACCUAAGGUCACAAGUAAGGAAAAAGCUGCAAAGUGGGGCUGGAUGACUGUACCACGCUCCACCCCUGUCCUCCCGGAGGCUGGCCCCCUGCCCUCCCCAGGAGGCCACUGCUCCCAAAGGGAGUGAUCUGUUCUUGGGUGGAGACUCCAGGGCAGAGGUUCUGGGAGGCCGGGGGCCGCUGGCCAAGACUCAGACUUGGCUGCUGGAGAAGUUUCCAUCUUAGCGCCAGGAGUUGGGCCAGGUUCUGGGGGCUUGGGCUGCACCUCAGGACCCCCGGGGACCAGCCCUGUGGGGGUGGAGGUGGCUGGAUGCCCACUGUGUCCCCUGGCUGGAGCACUGGCCAUCCCAGCACACUGGGCACCACCCCAGCCUCCAGUGUGUUGGUGACUGAGCUUAUGGGGUCUGUUUCCCCAUCUGCCAAAUGGCUCCCACGUUUGUUCUGUGCCCAGCACUGGGCAUGUAAUAUGUUACCAGAGGUGGGUGCUGUCAUUCUCCCGUGGAGAGGGAAAGGGACUUACCCAGGACACUGGGACAGCUGAGGGCUCCCCAGAAACGAUGUUUUGGGGCUACUGAUUCAACGGUCACUCUCACCCCAGGCCCAACCCAUGCCGAGCACACACAGAGGCCUCAGCUCAGGCAGAGGACACAGAGCUGGAGACACACUCCCGGGCGGGGGUCAGGCUGGCCCGGAGCAAGGUCCCCGGGAGCUGGGUUAGGAGCCCGCCAGGCGGGGAUGGGACCCACAAGGCCUGUGGGUGGCAGGAAGGGGCCGGCCCGUUCCAGGUGAGGAUGGUGAAAACAGGGCCAGCAGCUGUCCCCACAGGACCAUUUACAGCCACAGGUCGCAGGUCAAGGGGCCCGUCCCUGGGGGCCUUAGGUCAGCAAGGUGGGAAAACCAUCAGGCCCACCAAGGAGGCCAGGGCAGGGGAAUAGAGUCUCAGGAGCAAGGUUGUGCAAGCAGGGAGCUGGGCUGGGGUUGUGCGGUCUCGUGUGGGACAUAGCAGUGGCUGAGUGGCUCUUCUCAGGAACUCACAGUGGCACCAACAUUCAUGCAUACCCACACACAAACACACAGACACACACAUACAGAGUCAUACAUAGGCCACAGCCACCAAGGUAUAUACACAAUCCCUCAUGCACCUUCAUAACACACUAGACAGACACACAAUCACGCAGACACACAAUGGCACACACACAGGCCUCCCCCAAGUCAUGCAUCCACGGCAGUCUGGCUCCCACAUGCACACACACUCAGGGACAUGCGCUCGCACCCGGCUCCCCCGCUCUCUGCCACCUCCCGCCCACCCGCCUGCCCUGCCAUCUCGCGUCCUUGGCCCGGGCUGCCCUAAUCCCAGGCUCCUGUCCUGAAGCCAGGAGAUAAGGAGCAGCUGCAGCCACAGAUAAAGGAGUCGCAGCCACAAAUCCGGGGCGGCCGCGGCAGCAUCGGGCACUGAGCCCGGGGCCGCACCUGCCCUGCUGCUGCCACCCCCAUCCGGCCUGGGCGAGAGGGCUGCGGAGAGGGCAAGAGGGGGACACAGAGUGGGGGAGAGACUGAGGAGCAUGGAGGGAGGGGGAACUAGAGAGAGAGAGAGGGAGAGAUGCAGAGAAAAAUUCGAGAGAUUCGAGAGGGUCACAGAGAGAAGGAAAUACAGAAAGAACUAGAAAUGUUUUCUGAGUUAGAAACAGGAAGAAUAGGUUGAGCACAGUGGCUCAUGCCUGUAAUCCCAGCAGUUUGGGAGGCUGAGGUGGGAGGAUUGCUUGAACCCAGGAGUUUGAGACCAGCCAGGACAGCAUGGCGAGACCCUAUCUCCACAAAAAAUACAGAAAUUAGCCAGGCAUGAUGGUGGGCGCCUGCGGUCCCAGCGACUUGGGAGGCUGAGGCGGGAGGAUUACUUGAGCCCAGGAGGUUGAGGCUGCAUUGAGCCGAGAUCAUGCCACUGCACUCCAGCCUGGGUGGAAGAACAAGAUCCUGUCUCUAAAAAAAAAGAGAGAAACAGUGGCCGGGCACGGCGGCUCAUGCUUGUAAUCCUAGCACUUUAGGAGGCCGAAGUGGGUGGAUCACUUGAGGUCAGGAGUUUGAGACCAGCCUGGCCAACAUGGUGAAACUUCAUCUCUACUAAAACUACAAAAAAUUACCUGGGCGUGGUGGCGGGCACCUGUCAGCCCAGCUACUUAGAAGGCUGAGGCAGGAGAAUCGCUUAAACCUGGGAGGAGGAGGUUGUAGUGAGCCGAGAUCACGGCACUGCACUCCAGCCUGGGCGAUGGAGCGAGACUCCGUCUCGAAAAAUAGUAAUAAUAAUAAGAAAGAAAGAAGGAAGGAAGGAAGGAAGGAAGGAAGGAAAAGAAAGGAGGGAGGGAGGGAAGGAAGGAAGGAUAAGGGGGAGAGAGAGAGAGAAAGAGAGACAAAGAACAACCAGCUGGCGACUAAACAAAGAACCACCAGUUGAGUCCCCAGGCCCUGCUCCACCCCUACCUGGGUGCCUCAGUCUCCCCACCUGCUCAGGGGCCCCAGGACCACCAACCUCCAUCCUGCCUCCUCCAGGUUAGUCAAGGACAGUCCAGGCCUGGUCCAGGAUCGGGGGGCAUAUUCCUCAGUGUCCCCACACACUGUACAGUGACACCAAUAGCUUGAGCCAGGGCCCUUGGGAAGCCCUCAGCCCCCUCCCUCAGCCUCAGUGAAGGUGGGAUUCUCUAGGGCAGGCUCUGCACCCCUGUGCCUCAGUUUCCCCAGUCAUGGUAAGACGCAUUCACUCGGCAAGUGUCCACGGAGCACCUCCUGUGUACCAGACCCUGUGCUGGGCGCUAGGGACACAGAGGGACUAAGCUAAGCCCGUUUCCCACCCUCUCUGGGCUCAUCGUCCAGUGGGAAAGACGGGCAUGUGGCCAGGCAUCCCCAGUCCUGCCGGGGCCCUGAUGGGGGGCCAUUCAGAAAGCUGCAGAGCCCAGGCCACGCGCGGUGGCUCAUGCCUGUAAUCCCAGCACUUUGAGAGGCCGAGGUGGGCGGAUCAUGUGAGGCCAGGAAUUGGAGACCAGCCCGGCCAACAUGGUGAAACCCCAUCUCUACUAAAAAUACAAAAAUUAGCUGGGCGUGGUGGUAUGCACCUGUAAUCCCAGCUACUAGGGAAGCUGAG